AUACGUAGGGUGCAAGCGUUAAUCGGAAUUACUGGGCGUAAAGCGUGCGCAGGCGGUUUUGUAAGACAGUGGUGAAAUCCCCGGGCUCAAACUGGGAACUGCCAUUGUGACUGCAAGGCUGGAGUGCGGCAGAGGGGGAUGGAAUUCCGCGUGUAGCGGUGAAAUGCGUAGAUAUGCGGAGGAACACCGAUGGCGAAGGCAAUCCCCUGGGCCUGCACUGACGCUCAUGCACGAAAGCGUGGGGAGCAAACAGGAUUAGAUACCCUGGUAGUCCACGCCCUAAACGAUGUCAACUGGUUGUUGGGGAUUUAUUUUCUCAGUAACGAAGCUAACGCGUGAAGUUGGCCGCCUGGGGAGUACGGCCGCAAGGUUAAAACUCAAAUGAAUUGACGGGG
rnacentral:rRNA from 1 species